UUUCGAAAUACAGUAGCAUAAGGAGCAGGGUAUUGACUUCCAGGAGUCCCCAGAUCCUUGAAGGCCUUAAAAAAAAGCCAAAAUACACACGGGGAAAUCAUGCAACCCAUUGCAGUGCCAAUUAGUUGGCUCACAAACAUUGACCGUGGUGAAGAAAGGGUCAAAUAACCAGUCUUGAAAUCUUGAGAUAGGUCAGAGGCUGUGGAGACAAUAUUCAUCAUGACUCCACAGGCCGCUAGUCCUGCAAGAACUCCACCAUGAGAGGCACCAGCCCAUGCCCCAAUUACAAAAAUUGCAAGCGUCCCAUAGGUAGAAGCAAGGGACCAAUCAGUGAGUCCACAACCAUAAGCAUUACAGAAUGCAAGGGCUGGAGCAAAGAUGUAGAUAACCAAUAUGUAAUACCAUUUUAGUUCAGGAAAUAUAUGCGGAACGGUGGUUGUAGAAAUGGAAGCAAUUGUGACAUAACCUGCAACAGCAAACCAUGUUGGAAUUUGAUCUUUGAGAAAGAGGUGGGUGCGACGUUGCUCAUCAUAGGAGAUCCUGGAUGUCUCGGGAGAGGAACGGUCAGCAACAGGCAGAGCACCAGUUGCAUCUCUCCCACGAAGUUGAAAAAACAAUGCAGCGAGUGUUCGGCUUAGAACCUUGAAGAAGUUGUACAGACCGUCACCCAAGAUCAAGGCAGUGGCAAUAAAUACCUGUGUUCAAUGCAUAAGCGUUGGUAUGAAAGAAAAGGCUUCAAGAAAAUGUUAAAAAUCAUGUAAUGGGCAUUCUUGUCACCUUAACCUUGUUAGAAAACUUACCUUGUAACCUUGGAGGCCAUGUAAGCUGCCUGGUUUGAGGUCUGCUGGAUACCAGUCACCCUUUUUUGUAUCUAUGAGAGGCCACAUCAGACCCCAGGAAAGAAUUCCUCCAAGCAAUACUGAUAUGUUUAUGAUAUAUGGGCAAAUCAUUCCAACUCCAACAUAUGUUGCUGAGAAAUCAAAGAAAAAUCUGUACAUGUAACAAGAACAUUAUUAGUCAAAGAUACCCCAACGAAUUUGAAACAGAAUGCCAUAACAAAUGGAACUACAUUCAACAAGAAGAGAGGAUUUUGGAAGAUUGAGUAAUGUUUUUACUUGUUUUCAUGUGCUUUAAGACCAAGUGAGGGGAACUCAGCGAAUCCACAACCAUCUCCUGCAGUGUAGAACCAUUGAAAGAAACCCCACAAGAAGCUGAAUGAGAAGAACUUGCCCAACACUCUCACUUGUUUCCUGUAACAGUAGAAUAACAAAGUUCGAUACCCUUACAUGUCAAAUGAUCAUCCAUAUAAAUGCAUGAGGUCUGAUAAUGCCUUACUUUGCUAGCUUGGCUCCUGCAGGAGUGUGGAAGCUGUUGAUGAGAUGCGCAGUUGCAGUGCCACUUGGAUAUGUCAAUUUGAAGUCUAUAAUCAUGACCUGGAAAUAACCAGGGUAAGAAUGAGGAUUAGAUUUUGGCAAAAUCAAUACACUAGGCAAAAAUGUAAAAUGCAGAGAAAAGUUUUAUAUUUCCUAUAAUCAUAUAAAGAAAUUGAAUGCUGAUGCAGGUUGUAAAGUCUACCUUUCGAAGAGGCACCACCGAAAAGAGUCCAAGAAAGCUAACAACAAACAAAAAGCCAAUCAUCCAAGACAGAGAUGGAUUUUUAAAGGCAUCACUAUCUUCAGUUAAUUGUUUGGCCACGGUUUCACUCAUUCCAAACAGAUAACUCCCAAAGCCUCCUAUUAUAAGGAAACAAGGAAAAAAUUAUAGAAUGGAAACCAUUAGUACAAAAAUCAACAAGUUUAAUAGUAUCAUAAGCAUAAUCACAAAUUAGCCGUUUCAUUACAAUAAUUAAUUCAGUUUCGAAACAAGUUUGGCAAGUAUUCAGGCUUUUCUUGACUAUUUGGAUAAGUUAGAAAUAUAAUGUAUUCAUCUUGACAUUAUGUUAAUGAUUCACAGUUAAAGAAAAGGUUUGAUUAAUAACUCAAGCUCACAACUAGCAUUCUAGAAACAGAUAUUAUUCACAUUUUCCUUUCUUUUACUGAUGGAGAAGACUUCUUUUUCCACAAAUCAGAAUAUUGUUAUAAGACUUCCUGAUAUAAAUCUGAACUUAGCAAGUCAUCCAUAUCCAGAGCAUAUGAAUUGAAUUGUCAAAAAAGUAUCUGUCAAGUGACAUACCAGCUGCACCCCUAACAUUAUCACACUCCAGGAGACAGAGAUAGAUGUGUUCAUGUCUCUAAUGGUAAGUUCAAGUGUUGAUUAGUUUAGUAAAACUUCACAAGUGGUAGUCAUAAAGCCUCAAUUUUGAUUUGUCUCUCAAAGACUUUAGGCAGUAAGAGAUUCUUUGUCUUCAAGGAUCAUGCAAAUCUACUCACAUCUGAGAUAAAAGGGAUCCAGAGAGAGAAAAAUGGUUGCCUUAUCAUGUAAUCUAGCAAUUAGAAGAUGGAAAUCUUGACAUUGAAUUUUAGUAACUACUGUAAGUUUGCAACCUUUAAGAACAGAAACAAAACCAAAUGCACAGAAAUAUUAAUAUCUUGAUCAAAGAAACCUAGAUAUCUCCUAAAAUUCGAAAGAAAAGAGAAAGAAAAUUGAAUUUCAAAAUAAUUAAGAGAGAUGAAAUGAAAAUUAAUGGAAGUAAACAGUACAGAAAGUAUACCACUAAAGGCAAUGCCAGAGGAGGCAACCACGCAAGUCUGUAUUACAGUGUUCUCUUGCCUCGUAAAGGGUUGCUUGAAAAGUCCAGACUUUUCAAGAAACUUUGUCCAGGUCUUGAUAAAAAAGAAGCCCAGAAGGCCAGCAGAGACAUUGAGGGAAGGUAUGAUACCAGUUGUAAGAUUGAGCUUCAUUACUAUGACGCAGAACAAAAUGCUCAACACGAAGCUCACCACAAGGGCCCUCAGUGUCAGCUGAUUCCUCCAUGAUGGCACAUCUUGGUUCUCAAAUAUUCUUUCCACUGACAACUCUUCUUCUUGUUCCUCUUUCUUGUCCUUCUUUCUGUGAUCAUGAUCAUCCUCCAAAUCAUGAUCAUUCUCUACCUUGGCGUCGUCUCUUUCAUUACGUUCCAUUUUAUUUUCUUAAAAGAAUGAUUCUUUAUGGAGACGAAGAGAGUUGGGAGUGUGUUUAAUAAGUGGUUGUGAUUAUUGCUCAACGCAUCACAAGCGAAUUGAAGACGAUGAAUAUGAGGAGUUAAAAGUUAAAACGGGUUGUUGUAGUGAGUUUAACCUGUCUGUUUUUUUAGGUUAUUUUUUUUAAUUUUAAAUUAAUUUUUUUUUAAUUUUUUGAAUUAUUUUAAUAUAUUAAUAUUAAAAAUAAAUUUUAAAAUAUAAAAAAUAUAUUAUUUUAAUAUUUUUUAUCGAAAAUUAUUUUAAAAAAUAAUUAUUAUUAUAUUUUUAAACACUCUUUAAAAUAACAAAAUGACUCUAAAUGAAAUGUGUUUUAGUUAAGUUUGUAAUUUUUAUAUAUGUAAUCUGUAGGUACUUUUAAAGAAUUAGACUAGAAAUAUAAUAGAAAUUAUUUUUAAAAUAAUCUAAAAAUAUGUUUUUAAUAUUUUUUUGAAUUAAAAUUAAUAAUUAUUUUCAAAACAAUUUGAAAAUAAAAAAAAUUAAUUUUAAAAAGGAAUGUUUUAAGCAAGUUACCAAAUGGCCACUGAAUCCAAUGCCAAAAGCUUCUAUUUCUAAUUUGUGGAAGACGAGAAGUCAAUAGUCAAUUUCCAAAAAAUUAAAAAAAAAAUAAAGGGAAAAUAAAAGAUCUGUGAAUGUCCAUUGUCCAAAGUUUGUGGGAAAAAAAUGAUAUAAGAAAUAAAGAAAAUGAUAUUAAAUUACUUAAAGAAGCUAGACUAGAAUAUAGUUGAAUUUAAAACAAUUUAAAAACACUAUUUUAAUAGUUUUUAAAUUAAAAAUAAUUUAAAAAAUAAUUAUUACUAAACUCCCAAAAACCUUUAAAACAACAAAGUAACCUUUCACAUGUGUUUGAGUUAAUUAAUUUUAAAUAAAAUAAAACAAACUUUUAAAAAGGAAUGUUUUAAGCAAGUUACCAAAUUGCCACUGAAUCCAAUGCCAAAAGCUUCUCUUUCUAAUGUAGAAGGCGAGAAGUCAAUAGUCAAUUUCCAAAAAAUUAAAACAAAAUAAAAGGAAAAUAAAAAAUCUAUGUAGGUCUAUUGUCCAAAGAUUGUGGGAAAAUAAAAAAUCUAUGUAACGUGCGUGGAAGAUUUAAAGAAUGUCCAAUUAAUUAUUGUAUAAACGUUGGUUUUUUCCUUCUCAACGUAAUUAAUUAGAGAUGAUUUUUCUAAUUACUUGUUUACUAAAUUCAUAGCACAAAUCAUGCAAUCUUGCAGAGAAAUUUGUUAAGUAAAAAUAAGAUAAGCAAAUAAAAAAAAUACGAGUUUACAAUAAAUAAUAUAACGUUAUUUAAUUUAAACUUAUCUCUAAAAAAACAAUGCAGGACCUUACAAAGCAUGAGAUUGAAGAUGAGUUAUAAACAAAUCAUAACCACAGCAAGAUGGAGAGUUGAGGGAUUCUAUGAUAAUUAACUUUGAAUAUAUUUGCAUGGGGAAGAACGUAUGAUCCAAAUGAUAACCUCUUUAUGUAGUUCGCUCCCUCUGGGCUUAGAUGCCAUUAAGACUACGGAAAUGCUUUGUCUAUUUUUCAGCUUCUUUUCAUGUUCUUAGGACAAACCUUCAACAUAUUUGUUACAAGUCUCAUAUUCGCUGAAGCUUUUAUCGUCUUCCUCGACGCAUCUGAUAUUUUUUCCAUCUUUUUUCUUUUCUCGUGUUGGAUAACUAAGUCUGGCAUGGUUUUAUUGUGAGACUGAUAAUAACUAGAAGGCCAUUCCAAUGCCACAUUGGACCACCUGAUAUGAUCAUAGCUAGCAAAAUGAGCAAACCUGAUACCAAAUAUAGCAACUGAUCAUAAGAGCUCACAAAGGGUACUGUCAUUUUCACUUUUCACAUUGCUUGAUGCAUCUGUUCUACUAUCUUCUUCAAACUAGACAAGAAAAAAACUACAAGCACAUAUAAGUAAGGGGACAUUUGAUUUUCUUCUCCAGAAAUGAUUACAGAGAAAAUAGUUGUAGCCUUGUUGGCUCCACGGAAUAGCAGGUGAUUAUCCACAGCAUUUUUGAGUCGAACUUCACAUGUAAACUUCAUAACCUUAGUGUAGGAAGCAAUUCAGCUUUACUUCACAGUUUCUAUUCAAGUUGAUCUGAACUUCAACUUUAUGACCCUAAGAACGCAUCGACCUUGGCAUUUGUUCCCCUUGACAAAAACUUCAUGCAAAUGGGAGGUUUUACUCCUACUAGAGCAAGUAUCGCACUAGGCAAAGUCCAUAUCCCAUCCCCGCAAAUCAAACCAGAAGCCACUGCUGGCCCAAAAGCAUCUGCCUUUGCCUUGUCAAUCUUUUCCCAGAUAAAUAGAAUCAAGCUUCCCACACACAUGUCGAUGGCAAAGUAUGGGCCAAUAUAGAACGGUAUAGCCAUCGCCAUUGGAUUGGGAAUGAACCUGGCCCAUUUCUUACCCAAAGCAUCCUUAAUUAAAUUUAUCAGAAUAGCUGCACCGAAGAACCCAUAACAAAGAUAGAGGCAAUUCUUUGGUAGAGACGAGAAUCCGUCUACCCCCAAUAUAGCCAUGUUUCGAUAUACAGUAGCAUAAGGAGCAGGGUAUUGACUUCCAGGAGUCCCCAGAUCCUUGAAGGCCUUGAAAAACAGCCAAAAGACACAAGGUGAAAUAAUGCAACCCAUUGCAGUGCCAAUUAGUUGGCUCACAAACAUGGACCGAGGUGAAGAAAGGGUCAAAUAACCAGUCUUGAAAUCUUGAGAUAGGUCAGAGGCUGUGGAGACAAUAUUCAUCAUGACUCCACAGGCCGCUAGUCCUGCAAGAACUCCACCAUGAGAGGCACCAGCCCAUGCCCCAAUUACAAAAAUUGCAAGCUUCCCAUAGGUGGAAGCUAGGGACCAGUCAGUGAGGCCACAGCCAUAAGCAUUACAGAAUGCAAGGGCUGGGGCAAAGAUGUAGAUAACCAAUAUGUAAUACCAUUUGAGUUCGGGAAAUAUAUGCGGUAGCGUGGCUGUAGAGAUAGCAGCAAUUGCGACAUAGCCUGCAACAGCAAACCAUGUUGGAAUUUGAUCUUUGAGAAAGAGUUGGGUGCGGCGUUGAUCAUUGUAUGAGAUCCUGGAG
rnacentral:lncRNA from 1 species